AGGGGAAGAGAGAAUGCCAGGAAAGGAGGCUGCGGUCAUAUUUUGAAGAGCCUUGAGUUGUGUUUUUUCUGGAGGCAGUGGAGAGUGGUGAAAGGGGUGUAAGAAGUUCGGAUCUGUGUUUUAAAAAGGUAACCACUGCAGCAGGGCAAGAAUGAAGAGAGCAGGAAAUAAGGUAUUGAUAGUGGGGAUGAGAAGACAGGAUUUGAGAGACAUUUCACGAAAAGAAUUACAGGACUGGGUAUAAAUUGGAUGAGAAGUAUAAUCAAGAGAAAAAGAGUCCCAAUUUCUAGCCUGUCUGUCUUUGUCUUCAAGAUCUGUUGCCAGAGGAAAAUUGGAAUGUGGGUGGUGUCCCAGGAACCCUGAGAAUUUGACUCCUCGCAGAUAACAAAUCAGAUAGAUUCAAAGAGGAAUCCCAG
rnacentral:lncRNA from 1 species